rnacentral:rRNA from 1 species
GACGAACGCUGGCGGCGUGCUUAACACAUGCAAGUCGAACGAUGAACCCGGAGCUUGCUCUGGGGGAUUAGUGGCGAACGGGUGAGUAACACGUGAGUAACCUGCCCUGGACUCUGGGAUAAGCGUUGGAAACGACGUCUAAUACCGGAUAGGACCUUGGAUCGCAUGAUCUGGGGUGGAAAGUUUUUUCGGUCUGGGAUGGACUCGCGGCCUAUCAGCUUGUUGGUGAGGUAAUGGCUCACCAAGGCGUCGACGGGUAGCCGGCCUGGGAGGGUGACCGGCCACACUGGGACUGAGACACGGCCCAGACUCCUACGGGAGGCAGCAGUGGGGAAUAUUGCACAAUGGGCGAAAGCCUGAUGCAGCAACGCCGCGUGCGGGAUGACGGCCUUCGGGUUGUAAACCGAUUUUAGUAGGGAAGAAGGGCUUCGGCUUGACGGUACCUGCAGAAAAAGGACCGGCUAACUACGUG